rnacentral:rRNA from 1 species
AGAGUUUGAUCAUGGCUCAGAAUCAACGCUGGCGGCGUGCCUAACACAUGCAAGUCGAACGCGAAAGGGGCUUCGGCCCUGAGUAGAGUGGCGAACGGGUGAGUAACGCGUGGGUGAUCUACCUUCGAGUGGGGGAUAACGUUCCGAAAGGAGCGCUAAUACCGCAUGACGUUCUGGAUUUGAACAUCUGGAAACCAAAGCCGGGGACCGCAAGGCCUGGCGCUUGGAGAGGAGCCCGCGUCUGAUUAGCUAGUUGGCGGGGUAACGGCCCACCAAGGCGACGAUCAGUAGCCGGCCUGAGAGGGCGGACGGCCACACUGGGACUGAGACACGGCCCAGACUCCUACGGGAGGCAGCAGUGGGGAAUUGUUCGCAAUGGGCGCAAGCCUGACGACGCAACGCCGCGUGGGGGAUGAAGGUCUUCGGAUUGUAAACCCCUGUCGAGCGGGACGAAUAGCCCGCGACCUAAUACGUCGUGGGAAUGACGGUACCGCUAAAGAAGCC